rnacentral:tRNA from 1 species
GCCUGGGUGGCUCAGUUGGUUGAGCGUCCGACUUCUGCUCAGGUUAUGACGUCACGGUUCAUGAGUUCAAGCCCCGUGUCAGGCU